rnacentral:lncRNA from 1 species
UGGCCGUUGAAAACCAUCUUUCCUUGAAAGCAAAACUCUGUGUUAAUUUACGUCUGGUGAAAUGACAACGACAUUGUGAGAAUGAAAGCCCGAUACGUAAACUCGUCCGUAAUUGUCUACCGUAAUACCUCGUCCCUCUUUCAUAAAUGGUUUGAGUUCUGAUUUCCAUUUGAAUGCUCCUCGUAGAUUACAGCAUGCUACUGAAUCAUAGAUUAUGUAAUAAAGUUGAUCUGACCAUAUUGCAAUGCCGCUGUGUAAAGGCAAAGUAGCGUUAACUAGCCGUCAUCUAAUCUAGCAACACACAAUCAACGUGUAUGACCAUUAUAGAACAAUUUCCCAUCUUUGUGAACUAUUCCAUAAAUCCAUGACCCGACUUUAAUCGAUUUUUUACGUUUUUCUGUUUUUCAUAUCAAUUAUCGUGAUUGACUUUUUUGUUACUUGUGUAGCAGGAAAAAUCAUUCUGCCAUCUAGUAGUAAGGAACAACCAGUUAUAUUCUCGCCUAUUGUUUUCAUGGUCUGUCUUGAAGUAAGUUGUAUAUCUUCAAUGUAAGGCGCAUGUGUAAUAGGCAUCGUUAGCUGUGCUUGUUUGAUCUUUUUUUUUUGAUAAUGUUGUAUCACUUUGGCUACUAUUCAAAUUAAUGGUUCCCAUCUUAUUCAAAGCGGCAGGUAGAGUUUCCAAAGUGUGUUCCAAUUUUUUCUUUCAAUAAGGAAUUUAGAAAUUGUUCGUUAUUUUUUUUAUCUUGUUGAAUGUGUUUUAUAGCCAGCCAAGAACGUCUGGAGGUCUGAGGUAUGUUGUUUAUUUUUAUCUUAAUUGGUCUAGUAUUCUGUAAUAUCACUUUCUUUCUCGUGCAUGGAUGAUAUUACACAGCUUAUUUUUUUGUUUUCCUUAUCCUCAGCGGCAUACAACUCUUUCAUCAGACUUUCCUGUAAUUUAUCCAGAUGAUUGUUAAUUAAUAUUCGUGUCUCCUUAACCUUAAUUUCUAUUUUGUUCGUGUUCUCCUUAACCCUAUAUUAUUCUUUGUAAAUUUUUUGAAAGUUCUGCAAGCAAUUGUUUCUUCUCUAAGAAUGUAUUUGAAGGCUAAACGUUUUGAAUGACGUCAUCUAUCGCGUUCAACUCUCCGCAUUUAUCAUGCGUUUCAACAACACAUAGUCUACAGCAAGAACUAUCGUCUUUCAUACAAAAUAUUUGGUAUGUUUCAUUGUGCUUUAGACACGUAUGAGUAAUUUUCAAUAUAUUGGACAGAAGCUUCUGGUACUCGGAAAUUGGAACAAUACUGUGGUAUUUGGUCCCCUUUGAAGUUGCGUUAUGCCCUUUACACUCCUCAUAAAGUCCUUCGUAUCAUUCUGAAUUAAGUAUUCUCUUGUCACUUCCUGUUUUCAUUUCGUUUAAAAAUCGAAAGUAAAC